rnacentral:rRNA from 1 species
UGGGGAAUAUUGGACAAUGGGCGCAAGCCUGAUCCAGCCAUGCCGCGUGAGUGAUGAAGGCCUUAGGGUUGUAAAGCUCUUUCGCCGGUGAAGAUAAUGACGGUAACCGGAGAAGAAGCCCCGGCUAACUUCGUGCCAGCAGCCGCGGUAAUACGAAGGGGGCUAGCGUUGCUCGGAAUCACUGGGCGUAAAGCGCACGUAGGCGGAUCGUUAAGUCAGGGGUGAAAUCCUGGAGCUCAACUCCAGAACUGCCCUUGAUACUGGCGAUCUCGAGUUCGAGAGAGGUUGGUGGAACUCCGAGUGUAGAGGUGAAAUUCGUAGAUAUUCGGAAGAACACCAGUGGCGAAGGCGGCCAACUGGCUCGAUACUGACGCUGAGGUGCGAAAGCGUGGGGAGCAAAACAGGAUUAGAUACCCUGGUAGUCCACGCCGUAAACGAUGGAUGCUAGCCGUUGGGGUUGGAUCCUCUCAGUGGCGCAGCUAACGCCUUAAGCAUCCCGCCUGGGGAGUGCGGUCGCAAGAUUAAAAACUCAAAUGAAUUGACGGGGUCAUAGCUGUUUCCU